rnacentral:rRNA from 1 species
CGGACGGGUGAGUAACACGUGGAUAACCUACCUAUAAGACUGGGAUAACUUCGGGAAACCGGAGCUAAUACCGGAUAAUAUUUUGAACCGCAUGGUUCAAAAGUGAAAGACGGUCUUGCUGUCACUUAUAGAUGGAUCCGCGCUGCAUUAGCUAGUUGGUAGGGUAACGGCUUACCAAGGCAACGAUGCAUAGCCGACCUGAGAGGGUGAUCGGCCACACUGGAACUGAGACACGGUCCAG